rnacentral:rRNA from 1 species
GACAGAGGGUGCAAACGUUGUUCGGAAUUACUGGGCGUAAAGCGCGUGUAGGCGGCCAUCUAAGUCGGGCGUGAAAUCCCACGGCUCAACCGUGGAAGUGCACUCGAAACUGCAUAGCUAGAGUCCUGGAGAGGAAGGUGGAAUGCUUGGUGUAGAGGUGAAAUUCGUAGAUAUCAAGCGGAACACCGGUGGCGAAGGCGGCCUUCUGGACAGUGACUGACGCUGAGACGCGAAAGCGUGGGUAGCAAACAGG